GAUUUCUCUCCAAUAACGGGCUUCACUUGAAAUCUUUGCUCAACUACAACAUUCAGGUUCUCAUUUUGAUGCAAACCAUAAGCACCAAACACUUCUUUCGGUGUAAUAAUUUCAUCCUCAGCAGGACGACCUUGACUAAAGAAAAAUCUAGUUUGAUUUCCAGAUUGAUCACAAAUGAGAAACCUCUUCUGAGGAUUUGUAGAUGCAUCAGUUGGUGGGGACUUAAACCCAAUCAAGUGAGGCAGAAAGCAUUUAGUAUCACUUGAAUACACAUUUUUGGUGGGAACUAAGUUUGGCCGCCAAUUGACUCCAUUGUGACAUGCUUCCAUGGAAUUCGGCAAACAAGGGAUAAAGCAUGAACGCCUAGGAGAAACUGCAUUUGCAGCACAUAUGGCAGGGG
rnacentral:misc_RNA from 1 species